CCUACGGGAGGCAGCAGUGAGGAAUAUUGGUCAAUGGACGCAAGUCUGAACCAGCCAUGCCGCGUGCAGGAUGACGGCUCUAUGAGUUGUAAACUGCUUUUGUACGAGGGUAAACCCCGAUACGUGUAUCUGGUUGCCCGUAUCUUACGAAUCAGGAUCGGCUAACUCCGUGCCAGCAGCCGCGGUAAUACGGAGGUUCCGAGCGUUAUCCGGAUUUAUUGGGUUUAAAGGGUGCGUAGGCGGUUUGGUAAGUUCGGUGUGCAAGGUCGGGGCUCAACCCCGAAACUGCUUCUAAUACUGUUAGGCUAGAGAGUAGGAGAGGUAGGCGGAAUGUAUGGUGUAGCGGUGAAAUGCGUAGAGAUCAUACAGAACACCGAUUGCGAAGGCAGCUUACCAAACUAUAUCUGACGUUGAGGCACGAAAGCGUGGGUAGCAAACAGGAUUAGAUACCCGUGUAGUC
rnacentral:rRNA from 1 species